ACCGGACUAGAGCGACUGACACAUGGGCCAGCCUUGCGCGCGGGCCAGCCUCGCAGCGGCCGGUGUGUGCGUGCUUCUGUCCGGGUGAAAAGCAGGGCGAAUCGAUCGUGUGUUGGCAGGGUGUUUUUUUACCGUCCUCGUUUGCACCCAGCGGCCACCCGUGAAAAUAUCUCCUCUCCCUUGCCUUCUCUCACGUGCUCUCCCCUCCCCUGAUCCCCUCCUUCCCUACCGUCGCGCCGCCGGCUCCACGCAGCGGCCGACGCGGCCUUCUCUCCCCGGCGCUCGAGGUACAGCAGCGGCUGCGGCACUUGUCGGCCCAGCCGGAUCCGGUGCAGGUCGCCGGCAUCACGCGCCGCGUGCCGUGAUUCUGGAUCGGGCGCAGAUCUUUGCGCCGCCACCUCUCCUCCUCCUAUCUCUCUCCCAUGUCGCCAUUGUUGCAAGGAGCAGGGGAGAUAGGUGCCGAGGACAAGAAGCAACGGGUUGCAAGGAGCAGGGGAGAUAGCUGCUGGGGAGAUGGAGGAGGCCGUCGUGGUUCGUCAUGGAGGCGGCGCCGCCGGCAAGCUGGUUGAGAAAACCAAAUCUGCACCAUGCCGCCUCACCCUCUCAGAUUACUGUUUCAUCCCUUUGAUAGUUUUUUAGCACAGAGGAAUGAGGAAUGGAUACAUGAGGCAUGGCGUAAGCGUAGGGGUCAGCCAGGGCAUGACGCAAGAGUCUGCCCAUCUCCUCUCAAACACGAAAGGCACUAAUGCGUCCCGAAAACCUAGCGCACAAAGGACCAAUCCUUCCCUUCCUCGAGCCCCAUUCGAGUCCGCGCCGUUCAGCAUCUCCAGCCUCCUCUGCUCCUCGACCCUCCGGUCCCACGGCCUCUCGCGCCGCCGCCUUCUUCCCUGGACGUCUUCCCCGACGCUCGUGGUGCAGCAGCGGCCAUUGCAGUAGCCGCUGGAACUGAGGGAUAUUGACACGGGUAACAAAAUAGUUGAAAGAUUUCGCACCGACGAGGCUCUUGAGACUACAAACAUUUCUUCACUCCUUGUACGAAAGGAUUCUAGGACUAAGUUAUAGGAUUUUAUAUUUUAGUCGGAUAUUCCUUCUGUUAAUAUGUGCUCCUGUGCAAUUUUUCAUAGGCUUCUCUUUCCUUUUUCUGGUUACGGUUUACAAAGCUGAGCAAUAGUUUCUCUACUAAUGUAGCUUGCGUUAAAAACAUCCGUCUUUAGGAUGCUUUUGCGGCAUGUGUAACUGACUCACAUUAGCCUAUGCUUCUAUCCGAGUUGUUUACUACUAAGACCAUAAUGGAUCAUGCUUUUUAACUGGUAUAUAAGUGUUGAUAGAAAAUGAUAUGUCUUAUUUUUUGCCUGGUAAAUUUUAAUUGGUGCAUGCAAUCCAUGCUUCCCAGUCUUUGGUGACAAUGUUGUCAGGCCUAAAAAUAGAAGUUUUCGAUUUCCUCUGGUUUUUAGUUGGUUAGAUGUUAAUGCGUGGAAAUGUAUAUGCUGAUUUUUUUCCUGUUUUAAUAAAUUGCUAAUACGUGGAUCUUGUCUGCUUUGCAUGGACUAUAGUAUAUAUUCACAGACUUUGUCUGCUUGCUUCAAAACUAAAAUGUGACUUUUACUUGCCUAUUACCAAAGAAGAUUUCAUGCAUGCCACAUCAAGUCGCCAUAGAUGCCUCCAAGUGAAAUUUCAGCGACGACAAGGUAUAUUUUCCCCAACACCUGAUCUUCUUUAAUCAGACCACCGUUCAUUAUUGCGUAUAGGCUUCUUACUCUGUGCCUGAAUAAGCGAUUGGUAUCCACAUGUUUGUUUCCAUGUGUUCUACUGUCUUUCUGGUACUUGAAGCAUAGUAUGUUUCAUGUGUGCGACUACAGUUCCAGCGAGUUGGAAGUCCUGUUGUUCUCAAAGUUUGCAUCAUAUGCCCUUUAGAGAAAUCUUUAUUGAACAUUUUAAUUUUCCUCAUACAUGCUUAUCAUUUGGCAUCAUGUUAUUUUGUGACACAGUAACUGAAUAUGCACACAGGAGGAUCACUCUGGAUGUGUAGGAGGUACUUCCUCCGUAAACUAAUAUAAGAGUGUUUAGAUUACUAAAAUAGUGAUCUAAACGCUCUUAUAUUAGUUUACAGAGGGAGUAUGAAGUAAUAGCCAUUUUUUUUCUCUGUGUAGAUUUGGCAUCAUAUUGCCCAGUAACUGAAUAUGCACGCAUGAGGAUCACUCUGGAUGAUGGAAAAUGCAUUAUCCGUGGUAAGAAGCUAACGGUGUCGCCCCAUUUAUACCACAUUUAGGCAUGAUAAUUAAAUUAGCCUUCAAAUUAAAUAGAUGUCCGCAUUCAUGGGUACAUAGCUGAGCUGAGCUACUAUUUUCUUGUUUGGGAAUGAGGUAACACUAUACAGACAGCAUGUUGACACUCUGAACAGCUUAAUACUAGACGGAAACAAAAUUUCUCUUCCUACUAUGUCUGUACCAUGAACAAGAUGUUCGCAACAAGUGGUCAACAAAUGGUAUUCUGUUCCCGUCCUUUCUCCUUUUUAUGAAUCUUCAUAGCUGCAUCUUAACCAUGCUUAAUAUCUAUUGCAGCACUUUUCCACUCACUUCACACAAGAAUAUCUCAAGGGGCACAUGCAUGGAGAGCAUACUGAUUUGCUGAUCAAAGCUGGAAACAGACCUGCCAUCGUCAUUGCUCGGCUUAUCAUACAAUCACAAGAAGCUGGACUCAGUUCUUUGACAUUGCAAAUAUGAAAGGAGGAGUGUCAUAUGCAUUUGCCUUUGAGGAAUUGGCAGGAGAACUCAUAUCAUCGUGCACUCCCUUUGAUAGCUUCAUGAGCAACCACUGCCAUCAUCUCAUAAUAUAGCUCAGGUUCAAGACCUAGGUCAUGCACUACUUUUCUCGACCAUAUAAUGUGCUCUGCGUCACCUUAUCCUUUCAGCUCCAGUACUUCAUAAUAUAAAGUAGAUGAAACAUCUUUUUAAAUUGGUGUGGAAAUACAAAUGCAGAUGGAGCUAUGUAAUCCAGCUUGCUUUCUAUCAUGAGUUGGUUUCAUGACUUUGUUUUCAGCCAUCUUGGUACCAUGCAAUGGAAUAUAUAACACUAUGUUUGAACAUUGUA